rnacentral:sRNA from 1 species
AAUUUUGACGGUAAAAACUACUAA